UACGGGGGGGGCAAGCGUUGUUCGGAAUUACUGGGCGUAAGGGGCUCGUAGGUGGCCAACUAAGUCAGACGUGAAAUCCCUCGGCUUAACCGGGGAACUGCGUCUGAUACUGGAUGGCUUGAGUUCGGGAGAGGGAUGCGGAAUUCCAGGUGUAGCGGUGAAAUGCGUAGAUAUCUGGAGGAACACCGGUGGCGAAGGCGGCAUCCUGGACCGACACUGACACUGAGGAGCGAAAGCUAGGGGAGCAAACGGG
rnacentral:rRNA from 1 species